AACGAACGCUGGCGGCAGGCUUAACACAUGCAAGUCGAGCGCCCCGCAGGGGGUUCGGCAGACGGGUGAGUACCGCGUGGGAACGUACCUUUUGGUUCGGAACAACUCCGGGAUACUGGAGCUAAUACCGGAUAAGCCCUAACGGGGAAAGGUUUAUCGCCGAACGUUCGGCCCGCGUCUGAUUAGCUAGUUGGUGAGGUAACGUCUCACCAAGGCGACGAUCAGUAGCUGGUCUGAGAGGAGGAUCAGCCACAAUGGGACUGAGGCACGGCCCAGACCCCGACGGGAAGGAGCAGAGGGGAAUAUUGGACAAGGGGCGCAAGCCUGAUACAGCCAUGCCGCGUGAGUGAUGAAGGCCUUAGGGUUGUAAAGCUCUUUUGUCCGGGAAGAUAAUGACUGUACCGGAAGAAUAAGCCCCGGCUAACUUCGUG
rnacentral:rRNA from 1 species